rnacentral:rRNA from 1 species
AGAGUUAGAUCCUGGCUCAGGAUGAACGCUGGCGGCGUGCUUAACACAUGCAAGUCGAACGAUCCUUCGGGAUAGUGGCGGACGGGUGAGUAACGCGUGGGUAUCUGCCCUUAGGAGGGGGAUAACGGCUGGAAACGGCCGCUAAUACCCCAUAUGCCGAGAGGUGAAACGAAUUUCGCCUGAGGAUGAGCCCGCGUCUGAUUAGCUAGUUGGUGGGGUAAAGGCCUACCAAGGCGACGAUCAGUAGCUGGUCUGAGAGGAUGAUCAGCCACACUGGGACUGAGACACGGCCCAGACUCCUACGGGAGGCAGCGGUGGGGAAUUUUCCGCAAUGGGCGAAGGCCUGACGGAGCAACGCCGCGUGAGGGAUGAAGGCCUCUGGGCUGUAAACCUCUUUUCUCAAGGAAGAAGAACUGACGGUACUUGAGGAAUAAGCCACGGCUAAUUCCGUGCCAGCAGCCGCGGUAAUACGGGAGUGGCAAGCGUUAUCCGGAAUUAUUGGGCGUAAAGCGUCCGCAGGCGGCCUUGUAAGUCUGUUGUUAAAGCGUGGAGCUCAACUCCAUUUAAGCAAUGGAAACUACAAGGCUGGAGUGUGGUAGGGGCAGAGGGAAUUCCCGGUGUAGCGGUGAAAUGCGUAGAUAUCGGGAAGAACACCAGUGGCGAAGGCGCUCUGCUGGGCCAUAACUGACGCUCAUGGACGAAAGCCAGGGGAGCGAAAGGGAUUAGAUACCCCUGUAGUCCUGGCCGUAAACGAUGAACACUAGGUGUCGGGGGAAUCGACCCCCUCGGUGUCGUAGCCAACGCGUUAAGUGUUCCGCCUGGGGAGUACGCACGCAAGUGUGAAACUCAAAGGAAUUGACGGGGGCCCGCACAAGCGGUGGAGUAUGUGGUUUAAUUCGAUGCAACGCGAAGAACCUUACCAGGGUUUGACAUCCUGCGAAUCCCUUGGAAACGAGGGAGUGCCUUCGGGAGCGCAGUGACAGGUGGUGCAUGGCUGUCGUCAGCUCGUGUCGUGAGAUGUUGGGUUAAGUCCCGCAACGAGCGCAACCCACGUCUUUAGUUGCCAGCAUUCAGUUGGGCACUCUAGAGAGACCGCCGGUGACAGACCGGAGGAAGGUGUGGAUGACGUCAAGUCAUCAUGCCCCUUACAUCCUGGGCUACACACGUACUACAAUGCUACGGACAAAGGGCAGCAAGCUCGCGAGAGUUAGCAAAUCCCAUAAACCGUGGCUCAGUUCCGAUCGUAGGCUGCAACUCGCCUACGUGAAGGAGGAAUCGCUAGUAAUCGCAGGUCAGCAUACUGCGGUGAAUACGUUCCCGGGCCUUGUACACACCGCCCGUCACACCAUGGAAGUUGGCCAUGCCCGAAGUCGUUACUCCAACCCUUGUGGAGGAGGACGCCGAAGGU